AUUGAACGCUGGCGGCAUGCUUUACACAUGCAAGUCGAACGGCAGCACGGGGGCAACCCUGGUGGCGAGUGGCGAACGGGUGAGUAACACAUCGGAACGUGUCCAGUUGUGGGGGAUAACCCAUCGAAAGGUGGGCUAAUACCGCAUGAGCUGGCAACAGGAAAGCGGGGGACCCGCAAGGGCCUUGUGCGAUUGGAGCGGCCGAUGUCCGAUUAGCUAGUUGGUGGGGAAAGGCCUACCAAGGCUUCGAUCGGUAGCUGGUCUGAGAGGAUGAUCAGCCACACUGGGACUGAGGCACGGCCCAGACUCCUACGGGAGGCAGCAGUGGGGAAUUUUGGACAAUGGGGGCAACCCUGAUCCAGCCAUGCCGCGUGAGUGAAGAAGGCCU
rnacentral:rRNA from 1 species